rnacentral:rRNA from 1 species
UACGAAGGGGGCUAGCGUUGCUCGGAAUCACUGGGCGUAAAGGGUGCGUAGGCGGGUCUUUAAGUCAGGGGUGAAAUCCUGGAGCUCAACUCCAGAACUGCCUUUGAUACUGAGGAUCUUGAGUUCGGGAGAGGUGAGUGGAACUGCGAGUGUAGAGGUGAAGUUCGUAGAUAUUCGGAAGAACACCAGUGGCGAAGGCGGCUCACUGGCCCGGUACUGACGCUGAGGUGCGAAAGCGUGGGGAGCAAACAGG